rnacentral:snRNA from 1 species
GGCGACAGUACUACCCACAACCUAACAAUCCCCUCGCCUUUUACUAGGGGAUUCCGUGGGGGUAGUACAACAUAUAUGUCGCUUUUACAAUCUUUGGGCUUUCAUGUCCUUGUGAGAU